GACGACCGCUGGCGGCGUGCUUAACACAUGCAAGUCGAACGGUAAGGACCUUUGGGGUAAACGAGUGGCGAACGGGUGAGUAACACGUGGGUGAUCUGCCCUGCACUUCGGGAUAAGCCUCGGCAACUGUGUCUAGUACCGGAUAGGACCAAUGCCUGCAUGGGUGGUGCUGGAAAGGUUUUGCGGUGUGGGAGGGGCACGCGGCCUAUCAGCUUGUUGGUGGGGUGAUGGCCUACCAAUGCAACGACGGGUAGCCGGCGUGAGAGGGUGACCGGGCACACUGGGACUGGGAUACGGCCCAGACGCCUACUGGAGGCAGCAGUGGGGAAUAUUGCACAAUGGGCGCAAGCCUGAUGCAGCGACUCCGCGUGAGGGAUGACGGACUUCGGGUUGUAAACCUCUUUCAGCACCGACGAAGCGCAAGUGACGGUAGGUGCAGAAGAAGGACCGGCCAACUACGUGCCAGCCGCCGCCGUAA
rnacentral:rRNA from 1 species